rnacentral:rRNA from 1 species
GAACUUUCCCGGGCUUUGUCCCGUUACAGCGAUCCGACUCUGGAGUCGAGUUGCGAUCAUCCGGACACGAGAGUUUGGAGAUAGUCCUCGCGCUUUGCCUUGUCUUGGUGGUCUAUCUGUUGCCUUCUUUUUU